rnacentral:rRNA from 1 species
GGAUUAGAUACCCUGGUAGUCCACGCCGUAAACGAUGUCUACUAGCCGUUGGGGGGCUUGUCCCUUUAGUGGCGCAGCUAACGCGAUAAGUAGACCGCCUGGGGAGUACGGUCGCAAGAUUAAAACUCAAAGGAAUUGACGGGGGCCCGCACAAGCGGUGGAGCAUGUGGUUUAAUUCGAUGCAACGCGAAGAACCUUACCAGGUCUUGACAUCCUGAGAACUUACUAGAGAUAGUUUGGUGCCUUCGGGAACUCAGUGACAGGUGCUGCAUGGCUGUCGUCAGCUCGUGUUG